GUGAAUAUUGAUUUUAAUUUUAAAUUCAAACCCAAAUUCAACUUCAUUAAAGAACUCAAAAUAAAAACAAUCAUGCUUAGAGAAUCUGUCAAAUCAUGCCUUUCAAUCAAAACAAUAAUGCUGGCAGAGCACACAUUAAUUAAGUGGCACGAUCACUUUACUUUGAACUCGAAUGUUCUCUGGCAUGCACAUAGAUCCACGGUAAUUAUUGGAAUCGGAAUGUAAUGUAAUGCUGCAGAUAACUUGCUUAAAUGUUUAAAGUCUUAACAAAACAGAACAUUGCUGUUUUGUGCCGUUAUCUUCCUUCGCAAGCUGGUUUUCGGGGGCCAGCUUUUGGAUAUGUCCGGAUGUCCUGUGCAGUUGGUAGUCCGCUGUCAGCAAUGGCAUUGCUGGGUAAGGAUAAGCUGGUGCUAGCAUAAGAACUGGGCAGGUCUGUGUCUGAGCUCGUGCUAGGCAGGGCUGGAAUAGUGCUGGGGCCUGGCAGGUUAGUGCUGGGGCCUGGCAGGUUGGUGCAGGGGCCUGGCAGGGCUGGAAUAGUGCUGGGGCCUGGCAGGUUGGUGCUGGGGCCUGGCAGGGAUAGAAUAGUGCUGGGGCCUGGCAGGUUGGUGCUGGUCCUGGCAGGGCUGGAAUAGUGCUGGGGCCUGGCAGGUUGGUGCUGGGGCCUGGCAGGGCUGAAAUGGUGCUGGGGCCUGGCAGGUUGGUGCUGGGGCCUGGCAGGGCUGGAAUAUUGCUGGGGCCUGGUCGGUUGGUGCUGGAGCCUGGCAAGGCUGGAAUAUUGCUGGGGCCUGGCAGGUUGGUGCUGGGGACUGGCAGGGCAGGGUUGG
rnacentral:lncRNA from 1 species